rnacentral:hammerhead_ribozyme from 1 species
AUCCAGCUGACGAGUCCCAAAUAGGAUGAAACGUCCUUCAACCUGGAU